UCGAGAAUCAUUCGCAAUGGGCGCAAGCCUGACGGUGCGACGUCGCGUGGAGGAUGAAGGUCUUCGGAUUGUAAACUCCUGUCAUGUGGGAUAAAUGGCCAGGGCAUGAAUAGUGCCUUGGAAUGAUAGAACCACAGGAGGAAGGGACGGCUAACUCUGUGCCAGCAGCCGCGGUAAUUCAGAGGUCCCGAGCGUUGUUCGGAUUUACUGGGCGUAAAGGGAGCGUAGGCGGUUUGGUGUGUCGAAUGUGAAAGCCCACAACUCAACUGUGGAGUGGCAUUCGAAACUACUGUGCUAGAGUACUGGAGAGGAGAGCGGAAUUCUUGGUGUAGCGGUGAAAUGCGUAGAUAUCAAGAGGAACACCGGUGGCGAAGGCGGCUCUCUGGACAGAUACUGACGCUGAGGCUCGAAAGUUAGGGGAGCAAACAG
rnacentral:rRNA from 1 species